rnacentral:lncRNA from 1 species
AAGAGCAUAUUUGAUAUUUUCAUCAAAUUUUUAUAUCUUCUGUAUAGUCAUGAUACUUGCUAGAUAUCAAUCUUAACUUGUAAGUUUUUGAUCGAAUUAAAUAGUUUAAUUCGAACACCAAUUAGAAAGUGGUCUAAUUACCGAAAUCGGGUUAGCUCGAUUGGACCUAAAUCAGUUAGAUUAAAUUUUAAUCAAAUUAGGUCAACUUGUACCUAGACCUACUACUAGCU